ACACCGGGUCAGCCCUCAGUUCUUGGCCGGUGGAGGCAUCGCCUCUCUCGGCUUGCGUUUUUACAAUGUCGCCUUCGGAGAAACCAACCUGUCCACAGACUCACUGUCUUAAUACUCACCUUUAUACAGAGGAUCAGCUCUCCACAUUUAGGCUACACUGUCUUUUAGAACAACUCACAACAGUAAAUCCACGACUCGCUGCUCAUGCUCUGCAUUCCGGAGAGAUUUAUUUCAAAGAGCUGCUGCUCUCUCGGUCGCUCUCUAUAAUAACAGACUUUGUAGCUAAUUAUUCCAUCGGUUGUUUUGACGCUUAGGCUGGAUUUGCCUCACACUAGUCCAUGCUAUGUUAGCUGUGUGUACACAGACUUCAGCCUCAAACAGCCUCGGCUUCCCCAGGCGAGAGCCGCGUAUCUGUGCGUCUUCCUCAUCGGGCUGACGGGGACGCAGCAGCAGCAGCAGCAGCAGCAGCAGCCGCAGCGACGGCGGUAGCAGCUAAUAAAGGCUGGAACAGACAAACCCUGAUGCUGCGUGGAGCAAAAAAGAGGAAUGAUGGUGGGUGAAUUCUGAGAGAAAAAUCAGGGAGAAAGAAAAGCGAUGUGUUGACAGCGUGCAGAAAUUGAAUUAGCAGCCUGAGCGCCGGGAACAUUGAAUCCUAUUAGGAGCAGCAGAGGAGCAGCUACCUGCAGGCCUCGGCUCUCAGCAGCUCCCUCAGGACCAGAGUCCUGCAGCAGCAGCAGCAGCAGCAGCAGCAGCUCGGAUCAUCACAGCCCUCAUCGGCACCCGGAGCUGGAAGGAUCCGAUCUGAGGAAGUCACAUUUAUUGUUACACAUUUUGAAUACUGCAAAAAACACCCGGAAGUGUCAGCUUAAAACAACGAGAUGUGAAAUGAUUUAAAAUGGAAAUAGUGGAGUUUGAUAAAGUUUCAAGUCAUGUUGCCAUGAAAGUUGGUGAUAAACUGAAAUAUCGAAAAUGACUUUUUCUUAAAGAGUGAGUUCAGGCAGCUUCAUCUUUUAUGAAGCAUGAAACCAGAAGUCUAAAGCAUGCAAAAAGGAUCGACAUAUCUUCAGAUGAGGCUGCACAAUGAAUGAAAGAAUUGAGAUGAAGGUGAACCUAUAGAUGUGACUUGAGCUCCGUGAGGCUCCCAGCAGCGCUGCUCUGGCUCUGAUCAGCAGCACAAACAUGGCAGAUGAAACUGAAAUGAAACUGAAUCUGAUGCAGAAAAAAAAUCCUGCUCAUGUUCCGGAUUCUCGUCUAAUCUCCAUCUAACCUGCCCGCACAUCGGUGAGCACAUCUCCAGCUUUGUCCUGGACGAGCUGCGGCUGAUUGAGAGUCCUCCUGGUGACAAAGCUGUGAGUGUGCCAGCGGCUCUCAAAGUGUGGCUCACGGACCUGCGGCGGUCCUGAAGGAGCACUGAUGUAGGACAAAGCAGCAGCUUCAUUUUAGCAUCGUUUCACCUGCCAGCAAUCAUCCUGCUGACAGAACAGAGUCUGAAAGGGACUAUCGUAGCCAGAAAUUCCGGUUUUAGUGAAGUGCGCAGUUCAGCAGCAGAGAUCAGAUGAAACUCUAGUUUUACAGGCGUGAACACCUGUUGCACACUCAACACACUGCUGUAUGCACCCGCAGAAAAACAAGGGUUCCUAAAUGGUUCCUCAGAAGGCUGUUGAAGAACCUCUGUAUGUAGUGGGUGGUUCUUCACAUACUGUUUGUUUUCUUUUGAAGAACUGAAGGUUCUUUGAUUUUACUGGAGUUAUUUGGCAGCAAGAAAAAAGCUGGAAAUUACAGCUGCAACCAAAAAUAAUGAUUAUUAACACUUAUUGUUGCACAUUUUUUCACUAUUAAUUGAUCCUUUGGUCUAUGAAACAUCAGAAAAUCCAAAGCUGGCAUCUUGUAAUGUGUGUUUCUAUCUAACUGAGAACUCAGUAUUUUAAAUGUGGUGAAAUGGAAGCCCCCAGAAAAGCAUUUACAAUUCAUACUGAUAUAUAUAUAAAUAAAUCAAUGUUUCUAUUGCAGUCAAAUGCAUUUAGUGUUUCUUGAUUUUUAGUUUGCAUCCAUAACUUUGUUGGAGGUUUUAGGGCUCAGAUUGACUGUUUCUGUGUUUGGCUGAUAAGUCUGUUAGACUUUGUGCUUCUCUGAAAAUUAAUUUUUAAAAACCUGACUUUACUGUAAUUAAAUAGAGUGAAUUGGAAAGUUAAUAAAUGGCCAAUAAUUAUGUUCAUGAGUAUCACUUUCAACCUGUCGAUAAUAAUUGAAUUUAAAAUCAUCAAAGAACCAUUUACUUUGAAAAAAAACCCCCAAAACAAAACAAUUAAAAACCGGCUAAAAAGAAGUUCUUUACACGAAGAACAGUUUUAUGAAUGGCUCCAUGAAGAAGCUCAUUUUGUUAAAGUUCUAAAGUGCCUCAAAGAGCCACUUUUUUAAGGUGAGACACCUUUGGAGCUUCUUUAAAGAACUGAUUGCAGAAAAGGCUCUUUAAAGAAUCUCUUCCUAAAAGGUGUUUAAAAUGCUUCUGUUCCAGUUAGCACCUUUAUUAUUAUUAUCAUGAUUAUCAUUGCGUGUACAGUUGGUGUUUUACAGCUGCUACUGCGGGACUUUCACAUGGUUGCUGGAUCAUUUUAAUGAUUUAAUUCCUACCUUAAUUAAGGAUGGACCAACUGAAAACCUCUAAACUCCUUCCUGUCUGUGUUUCAGUCUGUCGCUCUCAGGACAGACUGGCUGCUGGUUCAGGGUUCCACAUGAAGACGAUGAGCUGGUGGUGUCCUCAGGAAGUUGGGACUCAGCAGCAAGCAUUCUUCUGCUGCACAUUUCCUGGCAAGAGGUCGGAUGUCAGGACCUGGAAAGUUUAAAUUUUGCUCCAGUUUACAUUUCAGGGAGCUGAUUCUGUUAUCUACAAUGACUCAGUGAGCAGGGACUGACAGGACAAAUGUCUGUCUGAGUCAAUGCUAGAACACACUGCUGCAAAGGUUAAAGCUCAGUAAUUCAGAAAUUCUCCCCAUUUACUGCCACAACAAGGUCUGCUUAUUAAAAACUCCUUAAAUAUUUAAAUUAAUUUUUUACAGACAUGUAAUUAUUUUUGUGUGUGUGUAGUAUGUAGUUUGUUAUUCAUGACAUAUUCUGUUCCUAAUGGUGAGGGAGACUUCCUCUGUGUUUAUAAUUUGUACCUCUGAAGAUAUUCAACAAUGUCAAGUGUUUGUAAGAACAUGGUGAAAUAAAACAACUUUCAAUUGCAAA